CAAGUCGAACGAGAAAGGGGAGCAAUCCCUGAGUAAAGUGGCGUACGGGUGAGUAACACGUGGAUAAUCUACCCUCUAGUGGGGAAUAACCCUGGGAAACCGGGGAUAAUACCGCAUAAGCUCGAGAGAGGAAAGCAGCAAUGCGCUGGAGGAGGAGUCCGCGGCCGAUUAGCUAGUUGGCAGGGUAAAAGCCUACCAAGGCAGAGAUCGGUAGCCGGCCUGAGAGGGCACACGGCCACACUGGCACUGAAACACGGGCCAGACUCCUACGGGAGGCAGCAGUGGGGAAUCUUGCACAAUGGGGGAAACCCUGAUGCAGCGACGCCGCGUGAGCGAUGAAGCCCUUCGGGGUGUAAAGCUCUUUCGGCAGGGAAGAUUAUGACGGUACCUGCAGAAGCAGCUGCGGCUAACUACGUGCCAGCAGCCGCGGUAAUACGUAGGCAGCGAGCGUUGUUCGGAGUUACUGGGCGUAAAGGGUGUGUAGGCGGUUAUUUAAGUUUGGUGUGAAAUCUCCCGGCUCAACCGGGAGGGUGCGCCGAAUACUGAAUGACUAGAGUGCGGGAGAGGUGAGUGGAAUUCCUGGUGUAGCGGUGAAAUGCGUAGAUAUCAGGAGGAACACCGGUGGUGUAGACGGCUCACUGGACCGUAACUGACGCUGAGACACGAAAGCGUGGGUAGCAAACAGGAUUAGAUACCCUGGUAGUCCACGCCCUAAACGAUGCAUAUUUGGUGUGGGCAGUUCAUUCUGUCCGUGCCGGAGCUAACGCGUUAAAUAUGCCGCCUGGGGAGUACAGUCGCAAGGCUGAAACUCAAAGGAAUUGACGG
rnacentral:rRNA from 1 species